rnacentral:misc_RNA from 1 species
GAUGAAGAACGCAGCGAAAUGCGAUAAGUAGUGUGAAUUGCAGAAUUCAGUGAAUCAUCGAAUCUUUGAACGCACAUUGCGCCCCUUGGUAUUCCAUGGGGCAUGCCUGUUCGAGCGUCAUUUGUACCUUCAAGCUCUGCUUGGUGUUGGGUGUUUGUCUCGCCUCUGCGUGUAGACUCGCCUCAAACCAAUUGGCAGCCGGCGUAUUGAUUUCGGAGCGCAGUACAUCUCGCGCUUUGCACUCAUAACGACGACGUCCAAAAGUACAUUUUUACACUCUUGACCUCGGAUCAGGUAGGGAUACCCGCUGAACUUAAGCAUAUCAUAAGCGGAGGA